GUGGGGAAUCUUGCGCAAUGGGCGAAAGCCUGACGCAGCCAUGCCGCGUGAAUGAUGAAGGUCUUAGGAUUGCAAAAUUCUUUCACCGGGGACGAUAAUGACGCUACCCGGAGAAGAAGCCCCGGCUAACUUCGUGCCAGCAGCCGCGGUAAUACGAAGGGGGCUAGCGUUGCUUGGAAUUACUGGGCGUAAAGGGAGCGUAGGCGGAUAGUUCAGUCAGAGGUGAACGCCCAGGGCUCAACCUUGGAAUUGCCUUUGAUACUGGCUGUCUUGAGUAUGGUAGAGGUUAGCGGAACUCCGAGUGUAGAGGUGAAAUUAGUAGAUAUUCGGAAGAACACCAGUGGCGAAGGCGGCUAACUGGCCCAUUACUGACGCUGAGGCUCGAAAGCGUGGGGAGCAAACAGGAUUAGAAACCCGUGUAGUCC
rnacentral:rRNA from 1 species